CUGGUUUGCUUAUCUAGUAAACUGACUGCUCCAUUAGAUCCAGAUGAGUGUAUCACCAGUGUUUUGCUCAGCACAUCUCCUCGUUUGUAUGGAUUUAUGUCAUUCCCAGACUAGAUGCCAGGGAGUUGAGUGCAUGGCAAAACGAAGAAAUACUGGUGGCAAAGAAGUCUCAGGAUAAGUGAUCUAGUAAUAGUGGCCAGUGGUUCUUCUGAAUCUUGUUUCCUCAAGUUGUUAACUUCAGGGAGAAAUAAGAUUGCUUGCAUUAGGAUAGAUCCUGGAUUUCAUUUUGAUAAUGAAUUAAAGUGAAAUGAUCAUCCAUGAUGUAGCUGUGAAUAAAUGUGGUAUUGAUCAGAGAACACAGACUUGCACACUUCCAUUAGCAACUUAAGAAUAGUGAAAUAGAUCUAAGAUUUUGUUCCUUAUUUUCAAUUUGAAAACAAGUGAAUGAAAGACUUAUCAAGGUGCACAGCAUUUUGCUGGAUCCUGUGGAUGACGUUUGAGGGAAGACCUAGUCUCUGCCCUUAAGAUUAUUACCUUGUAUAGUUGG
rnacentral:lncRNA from 1 species